UAUGUUGAAAGAGGGUUUAAAAACCUUAACGCCACCUUUGUACUCUCUCUGUCAUCUUUGCCAAUAAUGGCAUGAAAACAUUGUACGUCUUACUUUUCAGAGUUGCCAAUCCGUUUUGGGCAAGGGCAAUUAAUGCUCUUGCCCUCUCUCAUCUACACCACCAUUGAACAACCUCAAAGGUGAGGUUUCCCCUCUCUCUCUUUGCUUUUCUGCAUUUUCUUUAAUGGAUUUUGUCUGGUUGUGAUUUCAAAUGUUUUUUUUAUUGGUUAGUUACACAAUUAGAGGGAAUUCAAGAAGCAUUUCCCCCAAUUCCACUAUUCCCACAUAGGUACAACCCUACCUGUUGGGUUUUUGGGGUUCUAUAUAAAGAACCCCCAAUUCCUCAUUACACACACGAAAAUACUUGCAAGAUUCAGCGAAAACCCAUUGAGGUUUUAAACUGAGUUUUGUGAGCAUACAUAGGGCUUUGGUUUGCCCGAAACCCUUAUUAGUUUAAAAUUUGGUUUUGGUUUCUUAUUUUUUUUUGAUUUCUUUGUGGUUCGUGUGGCUGUGAGGUGUGGAGGAGUUAGAAGGUUCUCAAGCUCUAUUAUCGGCAAGGAUACCACAACAAAAGGCCAUUCGGGUCGAAACCACGACUACUAUGUCAUUGGGCCAAAGGCAACACUCUUCUUUGUCGAGUCUAAAUCCAACAUUGAAGGCCGAACCAUGGGUGAAUAUGGUCAACUAGUGGGCUCGGUAGGCCCACUAGCCUUCCUUAUUCUUUUUAUCUAAAUGCAUUAUCUUGUAAAUGAUGUUAUUAUGAAUGCUUGUAAAUAUUGAAACCCGAUGGCUUAUAA